CCCAUGUGCAGAAGACCUAAUAUAUGGAGUCUUAGUUCAUUAAUUGCAUAGAAAAGAAAGGAUCUAGGGGCAGUUGGAAAUACACUACGCAUGAACUUUGCACAGCAAGGGAAAACAAAACUGCUUCCAGAUUUUGAUCGUUCAGAGACUCUACGCAAAGGAAAGGCAUUGGUUUGAUUGUUCGUGGCUCUCGUUCGGCUUCGAGAGUACGAGAUCAGUACCACUUCUGCACCUCGACAUUGAUCCCGAGGCUAUCUGCGGAGUUUGUUAGGGUGAGCUUAUUGGACGAGUCCGCCACCCCUGGGAUUCCUUCUUUACUACUUGUCUUACUUUAAUCUUUAGACAGUAUUUCUAGUUUUGAGACUCACAUAUUAUUCAGACACGUUGAUUAGUGGCUCUUGUACUACAUCUGACCAUUUUCCUUGGGUGGUAUUUAGAAUUGAGAA